CCCACCACUCACCAACGAUCUCCCCCCUUCCCUGACCUCCCGACCCCUUUCCUCCCGUGCAUCGCCGCCGGUUCCCCUCCACCUGCUUCCAGUGCACCGCCACCCCCUCCGUUGGCUUCCACCGCCCCGCCCCAGCCGGCGCCGCCGCCCCCAUCCCGGUCCCAACUAGUGACGCCCCGCCUCGCCCCCAACCAUCGCCGCCGCACCCACCUCCUCAUAGCGCGCCGCCGCCCCCACGUCCUGACGCGCCCCCUUCCUCCGUCGGCCCCCACCCCGCCACCCAGCACCUCCCGUCGCUGGCCCCUACUCCACCGCCCAGCACCUCCCCGUCUCUGGCUGGAAUCCCCCAGCGCGUCUGCCAUCGUCGGGGCGCCGCUGUCCACAGCUUCUCCAGCCGGUGACUGAUCCACCCUCCGCCUACCCCGUCCCCAUUGCUUAGCCGUCGCGACCUUCCCUUGCACCGCGCUGCGACCUGCCUCCCAACGGAAGUUCAACCUAUGCAUGCAUCCCCGUUCUUCUCCGGUCGUCACGGCCGUUCGUCUGUGCUCCACCGAAACGGGCUGCAUCUGGUGAUUGCAUCGCCGGGCUUGUCUGGGAGUUCGUGGCUGGACUUCUCCGGAGGCUUGCCCCGGCGAGCCCCUGCAUCUAGAAUUAUUUAUGCCCUGCCACCCAAGCUCUGUCUCGCUGUAGUGUUCUUCAAAUAGCAUCCACGAAUGUCGUUGUUUUGCUGCCCACUAGGUGUUCGUGCAAAUGUCAAAGAGGGAGCUGGAACGAAAUUCUACAGGUGGUAGUUUAGGAUAAACCAAAGAUGAAAUAGAUCACUGUGUAGAUUUAUUUUUGUUAAAGCCUACGAUAUUCUUUGGUAGUUCUUAUUGUUCGUUGUAAUCAAUAUGUUGAUGGCAUGCUCGUGCGCUAGCACUUGAUAUGGCAUGCUCGGCCCCUCCUCCGCGGCCGGUGCUCUCCCAGUCCGUGGUCGACACCCAUCCUCCUCCGCGGCCAGCGCCCUCGCUCCCCGCGGCCGGAUCGCUCCUUCCCCGUGGCCGACGGGCCUCCAGCUCCAUGGCCGGCGCGGUCCCUCCUUGCUGCAGCUUGCCCCUCCUCCAUGGAUGGCCUGCACCGGCUGUCGGAACUCGUUGAGGUGGUACCCUUAAUCCUCGACCUUCAAUUACAGGUUACCAACGACGCUACAAAGAGAAAGGUCAGCCUCUGGCCUCUAGAAGUUCAGUUUGUUGACUCUCUGAAGUUUUAAAGUUAGAUUAUAACCGUCUAUAUUUUGCAGGGCCCUGCGAAGUUCAGUUUUUUGAUUUUCCAAAGUUUAGUUUGUUGAUUUUCUGAAGAAAUAGGUUGCAACGUGCACGUUCUGACGAUGGUACACGGUCCGGACUGUGAUUUGUUGUGCUAAUGUCUAGUAGCUUGUGAAGCAUGAUGCUAACAACAAAUGUAUAGUAGUUUAUGAACCAUGAUGUUAACUAUUUUUUUUUGCAGCUCAGCGUAUUCCUGCUGGAGCUGGUGUCCGUGCAAGAGCCUGCUUCAGGGAGUCCUUCCUCGUUGACACCGCCGGAGGCGCUCACGAAACUGGCGCUGCAGUGCAUGACCAAUGACCAUGCGGCUCCUAACAUGUCUUCAGUUGCCGCCAAGGUCUACAAGCUCUUCCUAGAGGUGUAGCAUUGCACCGACAAAGUUCCGCAUCCUCGCCAACAUCUCCAUCUCCAUGGCCCAAGAACAGAUGAGUGCUGCUCAACACAUGUAGGCUGCAAACACCUACCAGGAAGCUUCGGCGCCCUGCUGCUAGCACAUGAAGCGCUCGCUGGACAUCACCUACUUCCAGCGUGAGGACGGCACCUCCUUCAGGGCGAGGUGGAUUUGGACUUCAGUGGUAGUACGAAGAGCACUUCGGGGGACACAGGGUGAACUCAGAAAAAUUCGCCGCCCCUCCCGCUGCUCGUCGCCGACUACAACGACGCGACGAGGUCGAGCUUCCCUGCCAUGGUCGACAUGGAUAGGGCUGGAAUUCGAGCCGAGUCGAGCCAGCUCGACUCGACUCGCUAAAGCUCGUUUUGUUAACGAGCUAGCUCGACUCGACUCGUUACUAUAACGAGUUCAAAUUCAAGAUUGGCUCGACUCGUAUAACUCGCGA